AUCAGGUUGAAGGAACAAGAACAUGACCGAUCCAUUGUGGAAUUAAAGUUACAAUGCUCAGGGAAGAGUUGCAGUUGCUUCAACAGCCCGCCUCCUAUGUUGUUGAGGUAGUGAAGGUCAUGGAGAAAUCAAAGGUUCUCAUGAAGGGAUUUUUUAAAAUUCUACUCUACAGUCAGUCCUUCGUAUGAAUAUAAUUUCUGCUUAAAGGAGCAAGUUAAGUGGCAUGUGCAAUGAUGACAUACUAUUCCUGGCCAACAAUCCAGUUUUGUUUCCCACGCCACAUUGCUA